rnacentral:rRNA from 1 species
UACGUAGGGUGCAAGCGUUGUCCGGAAUUAUUGGGCGUAAAGGGCUCGUAGGCGGUCCGUCACGUCGGGGAGUGAAAUCCUGGGGCUUAACCCCCAGAACUGCUUCCGAUACGGGGCAGACUAGAGGUAGGUAGGGGGAGAAUGAAUUCCUGGUGUAGCGGUGGAAUGCGCAGAUAUCAGGAGGAACACCAGUGGCGAAGGCGGUUCUCUGGAACGCAAACUGACGCUGAGACGCGAAAAGCGUGGGGGAGCAAAACAGG